rnacentral:lncRNA from 1 species
AGGAAGCCCCCAUCCUCUCUCGUCACCUGCUCUUCCUCCUGCCUCUUUCUUCUCCUCCACGAAUGGCACCGCUCUGUUUCCCUCAUCCUCCUCUACUCCUCAUUUAUGCUUUUCUUUCAUCUUAAAGGGCACGUGGAGGUACUUUCUUAUAUCACCGUAGAGCAAAACUAAAUAGAUCUCCUAUGGAAGUAUACAAUGAAAUGUAAUCCGAAGCAAUGAUUGUUACAGGAAAGUAACACCCCAAUUAACUGGGUAGCCUUACACCCAACUGCUCGAGCCAGAACCAGCUCUCACUUGACCUUCCCUCGCCCUUGGUCCCCACAGGCAAUCAAUCGCCGGGACUCACUGGUGCGACCUCCCGCAUGCCUCUCCAUUCCCCCGCUAUAUCCACCUCCACCUCCCGGAGCACGUGGCACUGUCAUCAAUUCGGUGACCUUCUUUUGUGUGGUCCGGGCUUCCUCUAAACCAUGCCCCACAUUGCACAGGGUGACCACUGCACGCGCCGGCCCGGCUGCUCCCUGAUAAGCUCAUCCUGCAGCCCUUUAUUCCCCACACAGAAAUACUCCCUCCCACCUCCAGAAACUGCAGGAUUUCUCCUCUGCUCCCCAUGGACCUCUUUUACUUGGCUAACUCCUGCCUCUCCUCAGGUCUGGGCUGUCAUGUGACUUCCUUCCUCGACCUAGAAGACCAGCGACCUGCUCCCCGGGUGCCCUGCCAGCAGCCCACACCACAUUCUCCCCUUCGGAUUAUGAACAUGAACUUCCCACUCGUCUGUGCUUGCCUCCACCGCAAGGAUCCCGGCAGGUAGGGUCUAGGUCUUGUGUACUAUUGGGCUCUGUAGGCAGCAUACAGUAGGAGCUCUGGGAAAGUUGUUCAAAUUGAAGGAAGAUUUUCCAGAACAGUCUCGUCCUGGACCAUAUAUUUUAUACACAAAGGUGAAGUGUAUGCCAUAUUGUUGGUAAGGCACAUGCUUUGCAAUGAUGCCUUCAUGAGCUUAUGACUUAGUUCCAAUUUAAUCCUGUGGCUGUGGAACAGGACAAAUCCAUCUGUCCCUCCAGACUGGGGCUGAUUCCCGAAUUCUCUCAGCAUAUGGAAGAUAACAGCAACAUCUGAGAUUUGCACACUCCUUUACAGCUUACAGAGUUCCUUCAAAUCCACCUUCCUCUGAUCGUUCACUCUUCUUCAUGCCUUCUAGAUCAGAGUUCUUGCUUCUAAAACCUCCUUUGUCAGAGAUUCGACACAUAGUGUCAAACAAUCCGGGUGGCGUGACAAAUGCAACAGGGCCUUCUCCAUCUCUCUUCGCCCCAAACUGUAUUCGCUCCAAAGAGGUGAAAGGCAGGCUGUUAACUUCUAAGGCUCCCAAACCUUAGAGGUUUCAGGCUCAUCCUUCCCCCGAGUCGUGGUUCUAGCUUCCCCUUUACCGGCAAGAAUGUUGUGCUUCCGGAGUGGGGAGUUUACCAAUGUGGACUGGGCUGCGGUGUUUUUUCCCUGGAUCGGUUCAUUUUGCUCCCCUCUUACCUCCCUGUCUCUAGCCUGAGGCCCCCUCGUUCCCUCGUCUCUCUGCUGCUCAAGUGCUUUUUCAAACCCAUAAAUCUCAGCAUGUCACGCUCUGCUUGAAUACCCUUCCGUGGUUCCAACGCUCCCGAGUGCUUACACCGGCAAGUGACACCCGUGAUGAUCUGGCCUCGAAUGUUCUCCAAGUUCAAGGCCAGCCGUCCCCCUCGUGUGCUUCUUGAUCCCAGGGCUACACCCUCCAGCCACAGCAAGUGAGCACCGGAGGCUGCGUCCUGCUUUUAUCUGUUUUCAAAGACUGCUCUGUAUUUCAAAUGCACCCUCCUGCUCAAUGAACGUGGAAAAUUCCUCUUGACCCUUCAGAAACCUCCGCCUGCUCACCGCCCCCACUGGAACCACCCACCGCCCCGCCCCCGACUUUGUCUCACUUGCUGCAUUGCGUCCUUUUCAGCUGAAAGAUGCUAAAGCACACCUCUGGGUUUUAUUUUUCCAGGGCACACUGUAGGUGUGUGCAUGAAAUAAAUGAAUGAACCAACACAUCAAUCAUCAGAAGCAGCAGAGACUCCACAGGGAAUUUUUCCGGCCACGUUCUAAAGGCACCAACACUGACUCUAGGCAUCGGCUCAAAGUUUUCUCCUGGUUUGGAGAAAGGCCAGAGACCGAGGGGCGGAACCAUCCAAAGAAAAAUCCUAAUAGUCAUGAAUCUCCCUGAGAAGUCCGAAUUUUUCCUGCCGGUGGCUUUUUCUAAGUCUUGUGACCAGUCUGGCCCAUUAAAAAUAAUAAAGACCCUGACAAGCUGAAUACCGCUCUAAGUGGCUCUAAGGUACAGAAGGAGCCAUGGAAAGUCCACCAUUAAACCAAGUAAUGCGUGAACAGGAGGAAAAUUACAAAGCGAAGCCAAGAAGUGAGCUGGGCGAAAAUGCACAUUGGUCUCAGAAUUCAAGGUGUUCCUUAAAAGUUUAAAAAAAAAGAAAUACCACCCACACCGAGCUGCAUCGGUUCACUCUGCUGACGAAUUUGUUUCCAGCAGCCCUGGCAGUGAGGGCAGAGUUAGUGUAUAUCUAGGAAUUUAGAGUGGCAGGGAGAGACCAGGGAAAGACGCUUCUAGCUCUAGGCUUCAGCUGACACAGGUUCCAGAAGUUGCAUCGGAGGGGGAGGAAAAUCAUCCCACCCACCCACUCCCCUCCCCAUGGCAGACGACAGACGACAUCACGAUUCUGACAGGACACAUCCCCGGGAAAGAGAAAAGCACACACCUGGCAAUCUGCUAUCGGCCCACCAUCUAACAUCCUGCAGCAGCUCAGUUGGUUUAAUAAGCUACAGCAGCUUCUUGAAACGUCUAAGAAGCUGCCAAGUAAAAUGAGCUGAUGUGGCUAGAAUAUUGUGUUCUAAUAGCUCUGCACUGCUUUCCAGGGGGUCCGGCGCCUUCUCAGCGUUGGCCUCCAGUUGUCCUAAAGGUGGGACCAGAGAUCUGAUGGACAAUUGCUCUUUCAAAGUCCGAUUUCAUUCAAAGGGAAAGUGAAGCUGUCAACAUUUUGUUGCGACCCAUUAGUUUAUCUGGGAGGAUGUUUCUAUCUUUUCAUAUCAUCAUGUAUUAAUUAUCAUCAAUAUGUUUGACGAGAUUUCCUAUAAGCUCAAUCUUUCACCAUAAGGAAUGUCAUAGAAUGGAGUUCCCAUGUGGUUCAGCAGGUUAAGAACCCGACAUAGUAUCCAUGAGGAUUGCAGGUGCCAUCCCCAGCCUCGCUCAGUGGGUUAAGGAUUUGGCAGUGCUACGGGCUGCAGUGUAGGUCUCAGAUGUGGUUUGGAUCCUGUGUCUCUGUGGCUGUGGUGCAGGCCGCAGCUACAGCUCCAAUUUGACCCCUAGCCCAGGGACUUUCAUAUGCUGCAGGUGUGGCCAUAAAAAGAAGAAAAAAUGUCAUAGAAUGAUCCUUAACCUACAGGGUACCAUCUCAGGUUAUCCAUCAGCGAUAUGAAAGAAUCAAAUCGAUGUUUAAUACUCGUGAAAAAAAUAAUUUUUUAAACUAAAUGCUUAUGCUAGAACUAAAAUGUGAAAUACAUUAACUCAAAUCUGGCUUAGAGAUUUACGAUAAAUACAGAAAUAAAUAAGUUACCAGCUAGAACCUCAUUCAGAUCCAUUCAAAGCCUCCUACCAAACAAAGCAAAGAUCUUAAAUCUAGGAACCAAAAAGUGCUCUUAAAUUAAACCUCAGCAUUUCUCAUCCAGGUGGCACUUAGGUUAUAACUGGGAAUUUUUAACCUGUUACAAAUGAAUUUCUACUUGCUCUAGUGCAUUCAUAAGAAAUACGCACGACUCCACGUAGGUAAAGCUCUAUUGAUUUGAAAGUUUUGCUAAUGUCAUUCCCUGUAUGGAAUAAGUUCCCAUAGAAAUAAAACAAAGGAGGAAAAUCGAUAUUGUAUUGUUCCGGAGUUUUAGGUAACAGAUACUGACUGAAAUUAGAACUCAAUCAGGAAAAGCCUUUCAAGGGAAAUUUAGCACAAAACCUUGAAAUAGGCCCAAGUCAGAAGACACUCGGUCCUUGGUUUCCUUUGUUUGCUUUCCUUUUUUCACUCUACUUUUUUUGUUUGUUUGUUUUGUUUUUUUAGGACUGCACCCGUGGCAUACGGAAGUUCCCAGGCUAGUGGUCUAACGGGAGCUGCAGCUGCAGACCUGCACCACAGCUCCCAGCAAAGCCAGAUCCUUACCCCACUGAGCAAGGCCGGGGAUCAAACUCACAUCCUCUUGGAUCCUAGUCGCGUCCACAACCGCGGAGCCACAAGGGGACCUUCCUGGACCCUGUUUUUUAACAAGCUGCCUGUGUUGUUAGGAAGGCUGCCUGAGAAAGUGAUAACUGCAAAACUAUCCCAGAUGGUAUCAACGUGCCAAGAGGAGAAAAGAAAAAUUUGAAGUUCAGUGAUCAGUUCCCGUUGUGUAAAAUGGACAAUGAAGGAAGGCAGCCUCCAGGUGACGAGGAGCUCUGGGACUGUCCCCAGACGGAGACCUGAGCAGUGGGCCAGGUGGAGCAACAAGAGUGACUCCGCUCCGACACCGUAUGCUCGGCUGCCUCAACUACAGAGCGGACGUGUAACCUGCCGUGUUCGUAACCUGCCGUGUUCACAACCCUGAGCGUACAGCGUGUCCCAGUGGGAGCAGAGGACAGGUGAGUUUAAAACCUGGAACUUCCUCAUGAACAGAAGGCGCCUGGGAAACAGACAUCUCCCUGCUAUGAUUCAUGUUUUCCUUCUGUAAUUUAAUUCCGUAAGUGAAUUAAUUUAAUUCAACAAUGUACAUGAGAGGGCAAAAACCAGAGCCUGUUUUUGAAAGACUAUGUAUAAGAAAAUAGUAAGAGGUUUAGCCGAAUAAACUAGGUAAGUAGCUAAAUAUAUCCUUUUAGUAAAUUAUGCAUAUAGUCAGGCAUUACCUAAUGAAAAUAUAAAAAUCCUACAAAGUGAUCCUACAACCUUAAUCAGAACAAGAAAUGUCAAAUAUACUGUUUGUACUCUUUUUCUUUCUUUUUUCUGUAAUGCUUUUCCUGCAAAAGAUGUACCUAUUAUUAUACAUAAAGAAAACUUGCUUUUUCAUUCCUGGUGUAUGCCCGUUACUCAUAUUAAAUAUAAAUCUAUUAGAAUGGAAACUACGCAAUCUGAAUAGCAUUCCUGUCCCCUAUGAAUUAAUUGCAAAUUUAAAACUAUAUGCUAUGGCAAUAUGACACACGAAAGUAUUUAGUAUGCUUGCCAAGUAUUUUUUGAGUCCUUAGAGUAAAAAUCAUUUUACUUAGUACAAAAAAUUUGCAGAGGAGUUCUGCAUAACUAUAAUUAUUCAUGCAAAAUACUUCAUACAGCUUCUUAUAAAAACAAAGCGAUUAAAAGCCUGCCAUUGUGGGAGAAAAAGAAAUAUAUGUUUAUAAGCUUAAUAGUGUGGUGACGAUCAAAACACAUAUAAAUUCCAGGCUAAAAAAAUGAAAAUUUUGAUUUAGUGAAGUCAAAGCUUUGAAUCGUAUCAAAUUGAUGCUCCUUAAAAUUUGACUCAUUUUCCCCAAAGAGCAGUAGCGCGGAAAUUCCCAUCACCCCCUUCUCCCAUCACACACGGACUCUCCAAAGAGCAGCGCUUUCAAGCUUGUCACCAUUCACUUCCAGCUCAAGAUCCUUUUGAGGGUAACACGGGCUGGCAUUACUAAAUCUAUCAGGAGUUGCAUUCAGAAUAGCUUAGUUUCUAGCAGGUAAUAUAUUAGCAGGCCUUCUUUCACUCAGACCAGACCCCCCAGGUAUUCCGACAUAAAUCCCAUGAAGCCUUCCUCUGCGUCAGUGGUUCUUCAGGUGUGGUCCCUGGGCCAGCAGCGGCAGCAUCACCUGGCAGCCACGGGAAAUGCAGGUUCUCCGGGCCCACCCCAGACCUACUGCCUCAAAAAGUCUGCAGCAAUCUGGGCUUUAACAUGCCCUCCAUGUAAUCCAGAUAUGAAAAAUUGGAGACCUACCACACUACCUCAAAAAACAAUUUAGGUCCUGGGAAUGCAGAAGGAUGGGCUAUAGGAGGCAAUUUCUGCGUGGUUAAAAAAAAUCCUGGUUUCAAGGUAGUCACGACUGUUUAUAAAGUGGAUUCCUCUCUUAGAGAAAAGAACUAGUGUAGUAGCACUGGUUUGCCCAAAGCCCACCCCACUUGAUGUUCCCGUGGCCCAUGUAGCCCUAUUUUGCCCUUAAUUUCUCUUUCUCAUCUAGAAAAAUGGCCUUCGCAGGGCCAUGCGCUGUAUACCUUUUGCUCUCCAUUCUCUGGUCGCAUACACCGGCACAGAGGAAACUUCUGAGGGUUGGUUGGUUUCUUUGUCUAACUUAUCCUGUCUGCCUCUCAAGGGAAAAACUGGCUUCUUCAGUUUAUCUUCUGCAGACACAAAAGACACAGGGACAUAAGGCUACCGCCACGAUCCCUACCUACCCUCUUCCUGCUCUGCGACUCUCCAGACCCAGAUGUCCCCCGCAUGUGGCAAACUCCUUCCCCUCAGACACUUAGCCGUCACUCUUCCUUUGGAACAUUCUAGAACCUGACCUUGCAAGGCCACUCCCUUCCGGUCAUCCAGACCUCGGUCCCCAAGUCCCUCUUCAGAGACCCCACCCCAUGAAGCCAGCCUUGGCCUUAGCCAUUCACGGCUCCCCACUCUGGCUCGGAUUUACUUACUGUCCCCCCAUUUUCCUUAUUCUGUUACGUGCUGGGCUCUCUGGCCACAAAUGUAAACUCCGCUGAGUUGGGAACUCAGCGGUAGCAAACCCAACUACUCUCCAUGAGGAUGUGGGUUCGAUAGCUGGCCUCACUCAGUGGGCGAAGGAUCUUGGUGUUGCUGUGAACUGUGGUGUAGGUCAUAGUUGUGGCUCUGAUCCCCUGCUGCUGUGGCUGUGGUGAAGGCUGGCACCUCCAGCUCCAAUUUAACCACCUUUAGCCUGGGAACUUCCAUAUGCCGCAUGUGCAGUCCUAAAAAGCAAAAAAAAUAAAAAAA